rnacentral:rRNA from 1 species
AGAGUUUGAUCAUGGCUCAGAUUGAACGCUGGCGGCAGGCUUAACACAUGCAAGUCGAGCGGUAACAGGGGAAGCUUGCUUCCCGCUGACGAGCGGCGGACGGGUGAGUAAUGCUUAGGAAUCUGCCCAGUAGUGGGGGAUAGCCCGGGGAAACCCGGAUUAAUACCGCAUACGUCCUACGGGAGAAAGCAGGGGAUCUUCGGACCUUGCGCUAUUGGAUGAGCCUAAGUCGGAUUAGCUAGUUGGUGGGGUAAAGGCCUACCAAGGCGACGAUCCGUAGCUGGUCUGAGAGGAUGAUCAGCCACAUCGGGACUGAGACACGGCCCGAACUCCUACGGGAGGCAGCAGUGGGGAAUAUUGGACAAUGGGGGCAACCCUGAUCCAGCCAUGCCGCGUGUGUGAAGAAGGCUUUCGGGUUGUAAAGCACUUUCAGUAGGGAGGAAAACCUUAUGGCUAAUACCCAUGAGGCUUGACGUUACCUACAGAAGAAGCACCGGCUAACUCCGUGCCAGCAGCCGCGGUAAU